rnacentral:rRNA from 1 species
AUUGAACGCUGGCGGCAGGCCUAACACAUGCAAGUCGAGCGGAGCGGCGGACGGGUGAGUAAUGCUAAGGAAUCUGCCUGGUAGUGGGGGAUAAAGUUCGGAGACGGGCGCUACUACCGCAUACUCUCAGAUGAGCCGAUGUCGGCUGAGCUGGUUGGUGGGGUAAAGGCCGACAAGGGCGACGAUCAGUAACUGGUCGGAGAGGAGGAUCAGUCACACGGGAACUGAGACACGGUCCAGACGCCGACGUGAGGCAGCAGUGGGGAAUAUUGGACAAUGGGCGAAAGCCUGAUCCAGUCAUGCCGCGUGUGUGAAGAAGGUCUUCGGAUUGGAAAGGACUUUUGUUAGGGAAGCGUUACCAGCAGAAUAAGCACCGGCUAACUACGUGCCAGCAGCCGCGGUAAUAC